rnacentral:rRNA from 1 species
UACGUAGGAUGCAAGCGUUGUCCGGAAUUAUUGGGCGUAAAGAGCGUGUAGGCGGUUUGGUAGGUCCGUUGUGAAAACUCGAGCUCAACCUCGAGACGCCGAUGGAAACCCUCAGACUAGAGUCCGGAAGAGGAGAGUGGAAUUCCUGGUGUAGCGGUGAAAUGCGCAGAUAUCAGGAAGAACACCCGUGGCUAAGGCGGCUCUCUAGUACGGUACUGACGCUGAGACGCGAAAGCGUGGGGAGCGAACAGG